GCUAAGUGGCUCAGUGGAUAGAGCACUAGUCUUGGAGUCAAGAAAAUCUGAGUUCAAAUCUCACCUCAGACA
rnacentral:tRNA from 1 species